CCCUUAGACGUUCUGGGCCGCACACGCGCUACACUGAAGGAGGCAGCGUGUACUCCUGGAUCGAAAGAUUUGGGUAACCCGCGAAUCUCCUUCGUGCUAGGGAUUGAGGUUUGCAAUUAUCCUUCAUGAACGAGGAAUUCCCAGUAAGUGCAAGUCAUAAGCUUGCGCUGACUACGUCCCUGCCCUUUGUACACACCGCCCGUCGCUACUACCGAUUGAAUGAUUUAGUGAGGACUUCGGACUGGGACCGAUGCGGCUUUCGGGCUGCGUCGGUAUUCUGGAAAGAUGUCCAAACUGUAUCAUUUAGAGGAAGUAAAANUCGUANCA
rnacentral:rRNA from 1 species